rnacentral:rRNA from 1 species
AACGAACGCUGGCGGCAUGCCUAACACAUGCAAGUCGAACGAGACCUUCGGGUCUGGUUGCGCACGGGGGCGUAACGCGGGGGAACCUGCCCGUAGGUUCGGAAUAACUCCCCGAAAGGGGGGCUAAUGCCGGAUAAUGUCUUCGGACCAAAGAUAUAUCGCCUUUGGAUGGGCCCGCGUUGGAUUCGCUAGGUGGUAGGGUAAAAGCCUACCAAGGCGACGAUCCAUAGCUGGUCUGAGAGGCUGAUCCGCCACACUGGGACUGAGACACGGCCCAGACUCCUACGCGAGGCGGCAGUGGGGGAUAUUGGAAUACCGGCGGAAGCCUGAUCCAGCUCUGCCGGGUGAGUGCUGAAGGCCUUAGGGUUGUACAGCUCUUUUACCCGGGAUGAUACUGACAGUACCGGGAGAAUAAGCACCGGCUAACUCCGUG